rnacentral:rRNA from 1 species
GCUCCAAUAGCGUAUAUUUAAGUUGUUGCAGUUAAAAAGCUCGUAGUUGGAUUUCGGGUGGGUUGGCUAGGUCCGCCUCUGGUGUGCACUUGGUCGAUCCACCUUCCUGCCGGGGACGGGCUCCUGGGCUUAACUGUCUGGGACUCGGAGUCGGCGAUGUUACUUUGAGUAAAUUAGAGUGUUCAAAGCAAGCCUACGCU